rnacentral:rRNA from 1 species
AUGAGAGUUCGAUCCUGGCUCAGGAUGAACGCUGGCGGCGUGCCUAACACAUGCAAGUCGAACGAGAUGCGUAUUGGAAAGCUUCGGCCGGAAGAUGCGUUAUCUAGUGGCGGACGGGUGAGUAACACGUGGGUAACCUGCCUUAUGGAGGGGGAUAACAGAGAGAAAUCACUGCUAAUACCGCAUAAGCACACAUUGCCGCAUGGCAGAGUGUGAAAAGAUUUAUCGCCAUAAGAUGGACCCGCGUCUGAUUAGCCAGUUGGCAGGGUAAAAGCCUACCAAAGCAACGAUCAGUAGCCGAUCUGAGAGGAUGACCGGCCACAUUGGGACUGAGACACGGCCCAAACUCCUACGGGAGGCAGCAGUGGGGAAUAUUGCACAAUGGGGGAAACCCUGAUGCAGCGACGCCGCGUGAGUGAAGAAGUAUUUCGGUAUGUAAAGCUCUAUCAGCAGGGAAGAUAAUGACAGUACCUGACUAAGAAGCCCCGGCUAACUACGUGCCAGCAGCCGCGGUAAUACGUAGGGGGCAAGCGUUAUCCGGAUUUACUGGGUGUAAAGGGAGCGUAGACGGAAUGGCAAGUCUGAAGUGAAAACCCCGGGCUCAACCUGGGGACUGCUUUGGAAACUGUUGUUCUAGAGUGUUGGAGAGGUAAGUGGAAUUCCUGGUGUAGCGGUGAAAUGCGUAGAUAUCAGGAAGAACACCGGAGGCGAAGGCGGCUUACUGGACAAUAACUGACGUUGAGGCUCGAAAGCGUGGGGAUCAAACAGGAUUAGAUACCCUGGUAGUCCACGCUGUAAACGAUGAAUACUAGGUGUCGGGG